rnacentral:misc_RNA from 1 species
CAGCCGCGGAAUUCCAGCUCCAAUAGCGUAUAUUAAAGUUGCUGCAGUUAAAAAGCUCGUAGUUGAAUUUCGGGACCAUCAUGUCGGUCGUGCCUCGGUACGUACUGGCAUUGUUGGUUUCUCCCUUCUGACGAACCAUGAUGUCAUUUAUUUGGUGUUGUGGGAAAUCAGGACUGUUACUUUGAAAAAAUUAGAGUGUUUAAAGCAGGCUCACGCUUGAAUACAUUAGCAUGGAAUAAUGAAAUAGGACGUUUGAUUCUAUUUUGUUGGUUUCUAGGAUCGACGUAAUGAUUAAUAGGGAUAGUUGGGGGCAUUAGUAUUCAAUUGUCAGAGGUGAAAUUCUUGGAUUUAUUGAAGACUAACUACUGCGAAAGCAUUUGCCAAGGAUGUUUUCAUUAAUCAAGAACGAAAGUUAGGGGAUCGAAGACGAUCAGAUACCGUCGUAGUCUUAACCAUAAACUAUGCCGACUAGGGAUCGGAUGAUGUUAAUUUUUUAAUGACUCAUUCGGCGCCUUACG